UACGUAGGUGGCUAGCGUUGUCCGGAUUUACUGGGCGUAAAGAGCGCGCAGGCGGUCGUUCAAGUCGAGUGUGAAAGCCCCCGGCUCAACUGGGGAGGGUCACUCGAUACUGAUCGACUCGAAGGCAGGAGAGGGAAGCGGAAUUCCCGGUGUAGUGGUAGAAAUGCGUAGAUAUCGGGAGGAACACCAGUGGCGAAGGCGGCUUUCUGGCCUGUUCUUGACGCUGAGGCGCGAAAGCUAGGGUAGCAAACGGG
rnacentral:rRNA from 1 species